rnacentral:lncRNA from 1 species
GGAAGAUGGGAGUGGAGGGCAAAUGGGACCCACUACAGCCUUACAGUACCCAGCAUUUGGAUACUAAGGAAUCAUAUCUACUCAAGGACAUUUUGCAAAUAGCCCCUCAUGACCUGUGCUUACUUCUUCUACUCUAUUACCUCUACCUCUUAGCCAUGUCCCUGCCAAAUGAUUUUUUUCCCCAGAAAUUCUUGUGUAUUUUCUCACUUCUGGACCAGUGUCCUGUGCCUGCUCAUGGCCUUUGCAGACCCCACUUCACAUCCUCUAAUGUCUUCUCUGCCCACUCUGGUGCUGAUGCCAUUCUUCUUCUGGUCUGGGACUUUCAAGGCAAUUCUGCCCAAACUCUACAUGCAAGCCCUCCACCCAACACCAGCAGAAGUGACUGCAGAAGGCAAUCUUGAAACACUCCCCUAGCCCGGUACAGAGGCAUGGCUGAACUCUGAGAACACUUCUGGUCUACAGUCUGUAUAUCGAAAUUCCCAAGGAAACUACCUUGUCCCCAUGAUGACAGGGCUUUGACUGAACACUGAACCCUGCACGACAUACUUCCGGUGUGUAAUUAUGACACUGUCAGUGCAUCUGUGAGUCUGUAUCUGGCCACAGAUAAAUGGCUUCCUUUUCCCCACACUGCCAACUCAUAUUUAGGUAGUGAUUCUGCGGGAGAAAUUAAUGACGGCUCAUCAGUUUCCACGCACCCAUUGCCACAGCCUGAUGGGUAAUGUUCACCCUGGUUUACUUGUUUUAUAAUUUGAUUUCCUACCAGAGAUAAAUAGUGCUGUUUUUCUGAGGGCAUUGCUUGUAAGAAUUGAAAUCAACUGAAGCAUUGACUCCGAAUCACUUUGUAAGGACAGCUGUACUUUAAAUUUUUAGAAGCUCCAAUGUAUUGAGUCUACAUUUUGACUUUGCAGUGCAAAAGAAAGUAUGCUAUUAUUUUGUACUUGUUGUAUACCAGCCACUGUGUCCAGCACUUAGCAUACAUUUUUCCACUGAAUUCUCAGGGCAGGUACUAUGAUUAUAGAUGAGGAAACAGUGGCUCAGAGAGGUAACAUGAUUUGCCUAAGCCCACUCAGAGGUGUGGUCAGGACACAAACUCAGGCCUCUGGAGUCCCGGCCCAGUGAUUAUUCAUUUCUUCAUUCAGUCACUCAUUUAUCCAACAAUAGUUAUUAGUAUCUCCCAGUGCUGGGCACUGAGGAUUCAGUGGUGAACAAGAUGGUCUCACUUCUGUACUUAUGAAACCUUUAGGACUGUUUUUUCAAGAGCACAUUAUGCUUGCAAAAUAACCAUCACCUCUUAUCUCCCAGGCACUAUAAAGUUUACAAAAUGCAUUCACAUCCAUUACCUCAUUUUGAAUAAACUUACUGUACUCCCCAAUGCUUAAAUAAAU